rnacentral:ncRNA from 1 species
UUCAGCUUCUGGCUGAAUCUUUUAUGAUAACAUAAAUUGAACAGGCUAAUUUGCGCAAGAGAGUACAAAUUGAGUGCGCGGUUUGGCACCUCGAUGUCGGCUUAGCUCAUCCUCAUGCAUGCAGAAAUCAUGAAGGGUUCGACUGUUCGUCGAUUAAAGAGCUACAUGAGCUGGGUUUAAUACGUCGUGAGACAGUAUGGUUUCUAUCUUCUAGAGGAACAUAAAGUAGAUUAAAGAUAGCCCCUUCGUACGAAAGGAGUUGGGUAUAUUGAUCUCUGGUUUACCUGUUGUUUAUGAUUUAUAUUAUAACAUAUGUUAUAAUGAUAACUAAUACUUAUACUAAGGUAUUGUUACACUAUUAGUAGUGUAGCCAGACAACAUAGGCAUGGCAGGAAAGCUACAUCAGUUUAAGAUAAGUGUUGAAAGCAUCUAAACGCGAAGCAAACUUUAUGAUACUUUUAUACGUAGUAGAACACUACGAGCAUAAUUGUUAUUUUUUAACAAUUAAUAGGCUUUAGUUGUAAGAAUGAAAACAUUUUUAGAUAUAAAGUACUAAUUUUUAAG